UACGUAGGGUGCAAGCGUUAUCCGGAAUUACUUGGGCGUAAAGGGUGAGUAGGCGGCAAUGCAAGUCAUAUGUGAAAGCCCGGGUCUCAAGCCCGGGUGUGCAUAAGAAACUGUGUAGCUAGAGUACAGGAGAGGUAAGCGGAAUUCCUAGUGUAGCGGUGAAAUGCGUAGAUAUUAGGAGGAACACCAGUGGCGAAGGCGGCUUACUGGACUGAAACUGACGCUGAGUCACGAAAGCGUGGGGAGCAAA
rnacentral:rRNA from 1 species